rnacentral:rRNA from 1 species
UUAUACAGCGAAACUGCGAAUGGCUCAUUAAAUCAGUUAUCGUUUAUUUGAUAGUACCUUACUACUUGGAUAACCGUGGUAAUUCUAGAGCUAAUACAUGCUAAAAACCCCGACUCACGAAGGGGUGUAUUUAUUAGAUUAAAAACCAAUGCCCUUCGGGGCUCUUUGGUGAUUCAUAAUAACUUUUCGAAUCGCAUGGCCUUGCGCCGGCGAUGGUUCAUUCAAAUUUCUGCCCUAUCAACUUUCGAUGGCAGGGUCUUGGCCUGCCAUGGUUACAACGGGUAACGGAGGGUUAGGGCUCGACCCCGGAGAAGGAGCCUGAGAAACGGCUACUACAUCCAAGGAAGGCAGCAGGCGCGCAAAUUACCCAAUCCCGAUUCGGGGAGGUAGUGACAAUAAAUACUGAUACAGGGCUCUUUUGGGUCUUGUAAUUGGAAUGAGUACAAUUUAAAUCCCUUAACGAGGAACAAUUGGAGGGCAAGUCUGGUGCCAGCAGCCGCGGUAAUUCCAGCUCCAAUAGCGUAUAUUAAAGUUGUUGCAGUUAAAAAGCUCGUAGUUGAACCUUGGGCCUGGCUGGCCGGUCCGCCUCACCGCGUGCACUGGUUCGGCCGGGCCUUUCCCUCUGGGGAACCUCAUGGUCUUCACUGAUCGUGAUGGGGAACCAGGACUUUUACUGUGAAAAAAUUAGAGUGUUCAAAGCAGGCCUAUGCUCGAAUACAUUAGCAUGGAAUAAUAAAAUAGGACGUGUGGUUCUAUUUUGUUGGUUUCUAGGACCGCCGUAAUGAUUAAUAGGGACAGUCGGGGGCAUCAGUAUUCAAUUGUCAGAGGUGAAAUUCUUGGAUUUAUUGAAGACUAACUACUGCGAAAGCAUUUGCCAAGGAUGUUUUCAUUAAUCAGGAACGAAAGUUAGGGGAUCGAAGACGAUCAGAUACCGUCGUAGUCUUAACCAUAAACUAUGCCGACUAGGGAUCGGACGGUGUUACUUAUUGACCCGUUCGGCACCUUACGAGAAAUCAAAGUCUUUGGGUCUGGGGG